GUAGAGAUGGCCGAGCGGUCAGGCGCCAGACUCAAGGUUAUGCCCUUCUCCAAAACAGAGGACAUUUCUGGUCUCAAAUUGGAGGCGUGGGUCUCAAAUCCCACUUAUAACA
rnacentral:tRNA from 1 species